rnacentral:rRNA from 1 species
AGGACGAACGCUGGCGGCGCGCUUAACACAUGCAAGUCGAGCGAGAACCUGGCCUUCGGGCCUGGGGAAAGCGGCGAACGGGUGAGUAACACGUGGGUAACCCACCCUUGGUACCGGGAUAGCCCGAGGAAACUCGGAUUAAUACCGGAUGGCCCAACAGCUCUUCGGGGCGGUUGGAAAAGGUAGCUUCGGCCUCCGACCAAGGACGGGCCCGCGGCGGAUUAGCUUGUUGGUGAGGUAACGGCUCACCAAGGCGACGAUCCGUAGCCGGUCUGAGAGGACGAUCAGCCACACUGGGACUGAGACACGGCCCAGACUCCUACGGGAGGCAGCAGUGGGGAAUCUUGCGCAAUGGGCGAAAGCCUGACGCAGCGACGCCGCGUGGGGGAAGAAGGCUUUCGGGUUGUAAAACCCCUUUCAGGAAGGACGAAGCCACUCGGGUGAAUAGCCCAGAGGGUGACGGUACUUCCAGAAGAAGCCCCGGCUAACUACGUGCCAGCAGCCGC